rnacentral:rRNA from 1 species
GAUGAACGCUGGCGGCGUGCUUAACACAUGCAAGUCGAACGAUGAAGCCCAGCUUGCUGGGUGGAUUAGUGGCGAACGGGUGAGUAACACGUGAGUAACCUGCCCUUAACUCUGGGAUAAGCCUGGGAAACUGGGUCUAAUACCGGAUAGGAGCGUCCACCGCAUGGUGGGUGUUGGAAAGAUUUAUCGGUUUUGGAUGGACUCGCGGCCUAUCAGCUUGUUGGUGAGGUAAUGGCUCACCAAGGCGACGACGGGUAGCCGGCCUGAGAGGGUGACCGGCCACACUGGGACUGAGACACGGCCCAGACUCCUACGGGAGGCAGCAGUGGGGAAUAUUGCACAAUGGGCGCAAGCCUGAUGCAGCGACGCCGCGUGAGGGAUGACGGCCUUCGGGUGGUAAACCUCUUUCAGUAGGGAAGAAGCGAAAGGGACGGUACCUGCAGAAGAAGCACCGGCUAACUACGU